CAGUAGCUCAGUGGAUAGAGCGUCUGCCUCCGGAGCAGAAGGUCGCAGGUUCGAAUCCUGU
rnacentral:tRNA from 1 species